CAAGGGAAGAGCAGGCAAGGUUCCUUAGACCUGGAAAAAGCCAAAUAAGGGUGACUGAGGCAGCAGCAGAAGGAACAUUCACGUUGAGAACCCCGAUCUCAGUUCAGUGUUCAACGUGCUGUAAGGGUGCAAGAAAUGAGCUUGGAGUGGGUGACAGUGAAGGGCUAAAUCAACCGAUAAAGCCAGAGCGACCCUCGCCUUCCAGCCACUCCCGAGAAAUGAGUGAGGAUUCUGCCUCCAAAGAAUGGAUUUCAUCUGUGGGUUCUACCCAUCGUUUAUCCUUUUGGAAAUGAGAACAUCUUCGUAAGAAACAGCCGCGGGGACCCCCAGGGCUCCCAGGACACACGCUGAAAACAGGUCACUUAGAUAGUCAAUGAAUGGAAAGUCCUCGAGCAGACACGGAGGAGCAAAGGGCAGCUCCAGUGCAUGUCUUUGGAGGCUCUCGGGGUUGGAGAUUCGUAAAGGGCUCAGACAUCAUGCUUGGCUCGGGAAGCAGACUCAGUGUGGCAGGAUGUUCCAGGACAACCCCGUCGCCAAGCUUCGCAUCCCCAAGGCUGGACGGUGCCAGGCGUGGAAAUGCUGAACAAAAUCUUGCAAAGGUCGUUUCUGUUCAAAGGUCAUUCUGGUGAGAUGGGGGGCACGUCACGUGGCUGUUCUCUGGCUCCCAACUACCUCGACUAGAAAACAAGGGAGUCGGGCCAGAGAAUCCCUUUCUUGCUCUCCCUUCUCUCAAAAUGAACUUGUAGAGAAAACCUGGACGAGCUGGGAGAAACGCUUCAAAUACAAUAUUGCAUUUGCUCAUCGCCACCCCGUAGCCAUUGUCCUUUAGGCUCCUCCUGCUUUUGUCCUCUUUCUUCUUUAUUGUUCCUUUUUCAGAUGAGGAAACUAAGUCUUAGAAGGGUAGGUGGGUUUGCCCACAGUCACAUAGCCAGUAUCUUGCAGGCAGGAUUUGAAUCAGGGUCUUUCCUAACUCAGGACCUCGAAGGCUUUUUCCAUUGACAUCACCUUCCCUCUCCUGGGUAGAUGCUAAUGUUACACUCCAAGGAUUCUCCAGAACAUUCGGGGUCAAUCUAAAGCCCAAAUGGAGAACCGUGACACCUGUGUGAAAUUUGGUGAUAAGCCCUGGCCACCCAAUCCAAGUCACCGCAGGGAAUGGCUGGAAGGACAAUGUAGCUGGAUUUUCUUCUCUAAGAGCUGCAUCUUUAUUGCUGUUUUCUUUUUUCCUUUUUUAACCCUUACCUUCCAUCUUAGAAUCAAUACUAAGUAUCAGAACUGUAAGAUCUAGGUAACUGGGGUUAAGUGACUUGCCCAGGGUCACACAGCUGAGAAGUGUCUGAGGCCAGAUUUGAACCCAAGUUUGAACUCCUGUCUCCCCUCGGAGCUACCCCAGCUCAGGUGUUAGUUUCUUGACACACACAAAAUGAAGGUUUAAAAAGCUCCACCUCCAAGGUUCUUCAGGUUCCCCCAAAAUGGGCAUUUCCCCUAAGUACCCUGCAAUUGUGCUCAAUAAGCAACCGAAUUAGGAACAUUUGGUGGCGCUGGAAUGAGGAUUUUGAGUGGAAGAAUGAGAGAAUAAAGGAGGAAAGGAAGCGACUGUAUAAAGAUUCCGUGAGAAUGUGUAGGUUGGACAGCUAGGGUUCAUUGAAAACGAGGCUGAGGUUUGGCAGAGAAUAGACAGAAAAGGGAAACGGCCACAGUGAUAAGCCCUUUGGCCCCACAGCGUGCUUUGGUACUGACUCUGGCUGCAUGGGAGCUCCUUAGAUGGUUUUUGUAGCUGGCUGCUGCACGGUGGGACGUGUUAAAGUCUUCGGGGAGGGGACGCGGCUCAUCGUAACCGAAUCUGCUUUCAAAAAAAAGCCACCAAAGCCCAUCUUUUUCCUCCCGACGUCAGAGGAGAUAAAGCAGAAACAAUCUGGGACCUACAUUUGCCUCCUGGAGGAUUUUUUCCCCAAUGUCGUUAAAACAUAUUGGAAAGAAGAUGGGAACUCACAGCCUCUGGAUGCCCAGUUUGGACCGAUCACCGGGGGUGGAAAUUCCUACUCCCAGGUCAGCUGGCUGACAGUGAAGGAAGACGUCUUGCGGAAAAACCUCACCUACUUCUACCAGCACGAGGACUUGGGCAUGGAACCGAAGGCAUUUUCUAUUUCUUCAGUCAGGGAAAAAGUUUUCUCCAAAGAGACUUCCCCAAGAAUCUGCAGGGAUACUUCAGCUAAGACCAAAGGUCUCGUGGAGCUACAUUUUGCCAACAUGUCAGCCUAUUACACCUACACCAUCCUGCUUAUGAAAAGUAUAACCUACUUUGCUGUUAUCCUCUUCUUCCUGUACCAGAAGAGAGUGGUCAAGAGCCCAGGGGCAAAGUAGGCAUGCUGAGCAGCCCUCCGAGAGGGUUGGUCUACACCUUCCAUUUUGUUUUCUGCACGAGAUAGACAGUGGUCAUAUCCUCGGCUCUCAUCAUUUCUCUUUCACUUAGCAACGGCAUUUACUGUAACUUGCAAAAUGCCCAUCAGGCUCUUUUCUGCUGGACAAACAGGAAACCUCAGGUUGGAAGAAGCAGGUUGUUUGGGUGCUUUGCUUUAGAUAUCUAUGUUCCCCUCUUCCUGAUGGCCUUUUCCCCAAUAAAAGUCACUGAAGCU